rnacentral:rRNA from 1 species
CUACGGGAGGCAGCAGUGAGGAAUAUUGCACAAUGGGGGGAACCCUGAUGCAGCAACGCCGCGUGGAGGAUGACGCAUUUCGGUGGGUAAACUCCUUUUAUAUGUCAAGAAAAUGACGGGAGCAUAUGAAUAAGCACCGGCUAACUCCGGGCCAGCAGCCGCGGUAAUACGGAGGGUGCAAGCGUUACUCGGAAUCACUGGGCGGAAAGGACGCGUAGGCGGGUUGGAAAGUCAGGUGUGAAAUCCUACAGCUUAACUGUAGAACUGCACUUGAAACUUCUAAUCUAGAGUAUGGGAGGGGGAGAUGGAAUUAUUGGUGUAGGGGUAAAAUCCGUAGAUAUCACUAGGAAUACCUAAAGCGAAGGCGAUCUCCUGGAACAUUACUGACGCUAAGGCGUGAAAGCGUGGGGAGCAAACAGGAUUAGAUACCCUAGUAGUC